rnacentral:rRNA from 1 species
UACGAAGGGGGCUAGCGUUGUUCGGAUUUACUGGGCGUAAAGGGCGCGUAGGCGGCGUGGUAAGUCGCUUGUGAAAUCUCUGAGCUUAACUCAGAACGGCCAAGUGAUACUGCUGUGCUAGAGUGCAGAAGGGGCAAUCGGAAUUCUUGGUGUAGCGGUGAAAUGCGUAGAUAUCAAGAGGAACACCUGAGGUGAAGACGGGUUGCUGGGCUGACACUGACGCUGAGGCGCGAAAGCCAGGGGAGCAAACGGG